rnacentral:lncRNA from 1 species
AUGGCGGCCGGCGGCGCCGGGCACCGGCGGUACCGCGCGGGCCGCGUCCCCGGGGCGCUCCUCGCCGCGCCGCGCCUCGCCGCGCCGGCAGCUCCGCAGCCCCGUGGCGGCGGUGGGGAAGCUCCGCCGGGCUUCCCGCGCCACUCCGCGCAGGCCCGCGGGUCGCGCCGCCGGCUGGCAGCGGCCGAGCCGAGCCGAGCCGCCCGCACCCUACGGAGCGCCCCCCGCGGGCCGGGCUCGCAUGGCCGCCGGCCCCGCCGGGCGUCCGCAGGCAGCGGCUCCGGCCCCCGAGCGGGCGUGUGGCGGCGGCUCGGCGUGCGGACGGAUCCCCAACCGCGGGUGGGAGGAGGCAGGGAGAGAAGGAGGGCCCGAGAGAGGGAGGCGCUCCCCUUUCUCCGCGCGGGGCUGGCGGCGGCUGCGGCGCUUGUCGCCGGGCGGUGCGCGGCCACCGAGCGCUCGGCGCGGCGCCUCAGAGGCGGAGCGGGACGGGGCGGGCGGUGCGCUCAGGGCUCCGCGCCGCCGCUCCCCCUAGCAGCGCGGCGGGCAGCCGUGCAUCUCCCCGAGGCGGCAGAGCGAGCCGCGGCACCGGCAUCGGGCAUCGGGCUGCAGGCGGCGGGCACCGGGUCGCCGCGAUCCGCCCGCCCGCCCCCGGCUGCGGAGACGCGGGGCGCCGCUCCUCCUUCCCGCGGCGGGUCCGCGCCUGGCCGUCACGCCUUCUGCUGCGGACAGCGGGCGGGCAUCGCGCCGGGGCGCGGCGGGACGGGCGCUGCCAGCGGGCGGGGGGCGGGACGGGCGGCCGCCGCCCGGCCGAGGGUGCGCUGCGGCGGGGCCGCGGGCUCAGAGCCGGCAGCGGGGUGGGACCGGGUGGAGGAAAGGAGGGACGGAGGGAGCGGGCGGGGGACGCGGGGGGAGCGAGCAGCGCGUCAGGCGGUGCCCGGCUGCUGCGAGCCGCUGCCUGCGGCCGCCCGCAUCCCCGCCUCCGCCUCACACCUCUGCCUCCGCCCGCUGUGGCGGUGGGCAGGCCCGGCCGGCAGCCGACCCACCGCCCCGGGGCUGAGACCGGGAACCUGGGCAGGAGCGGGAACGGAACCGGCCGCGGCCCCACAGCGCCCGGCAGCCAACGCCGGUGGCAGCAGCCGCUCGCUCUGCCUCCAUCCUCCGCCCGCGGAGCUUUAA